GCCUGCACUCCACGUUCUGAGGAGGAGUCCUUGAAGCUACUGAGAUAAUGGAACAAUGGAGUAGAUAGUCCAUUAUAACUCAUCUGGGAUUCUUCUCAACUUCAAGUGACCACAGGGCUGCAGAAGUGUUAAGAGUGCCUGCUUGUCUUCGAGAGGACCAGAGAUCAAUUCCCAGCAUCCAUCCCUGGAAGCUACAGGGAAUUCAACACUCUUCCUGACUUCCUCAAACACCUGCACACAUAUGGCUUAUAGACACACAGGGA
rnacentral:lncRNA from 1 species